CCUACGGGCUGCAGCAGUAGGGAAUAUUGCUCAAUGGGGGAAACCCUGAAGCAGCAACGCCGCGUGGAGGAUGAAGGUUUUCGGAUUGUAAACUCCUUUUGUUAGAGAAGAUAAUGACGGUAUCUAACGAAUAAGCACCGGCUAACUCCGUGCCAGCAGCCGCGGUAAUACGGAGGGUGCAAGCGUUACUCGGAAUCACUGGGCGGAAAGAGCGCGUAGGCGGGAUAGCAAGUCAGAUGUGAAAUCCUAUGGCUUAACCAUAGAACUGCAUUUGAAAAUGUUAUUCUAGAGUAUGGGAGAGGUAGGUGGAAUUCUUGGUGUAGGGGUAAAAUCCGUAGAGAUCAAGAGGAAUACUCAUUGCGAAGGCGACCUGCUAGAACAUAACUGACGCUGAUGCGCGAAAGCGUGGGGAGCAAACAGGAUUAGAUACCCCUGUAGUC
rnacentral:rRNA from 1 species